UACGGAGGGUGCGAGCGUUAAUCGGAAUUACUGGGCGUAAAGCGCACGUAGGCGGCUACAUAAGUUGGAGGUGAAAUCCCCGGGCUCAACCUGGGAACUGCUUUCAAAACUGUGUGGCUAGAGUACGGUAGAGGUGAGUGGAAUUUCCUGUGUAGCGGUGAAAUGCGUAGAUAUAGGAAGGAACAUCAGUGGCGAAGGCGACUCACUGGACUGAUACUGACGCUGAGGUGCGAAAGCGUGGGGAGCAAACAGG
rnacentral:rRNA from 1 species